rnacentral:lncRNA from 10 species
GAAAGGGUACAUUCGCCAGCAGUUUUGCCACGAGAGUACACCGAACAAAGAGACAGGGUCAUUUGUAACCUGAUGCGUCCACCCUACUGCUGUGUCCGGUUUCCAUUGGCUGGAACGGGACCUCAUAUUCUGUAUUUGUCCUGAUUGGGAAGCAACUUAAAACUUUUUAAAAGAGGCGAAGGCAGAAGAGAACAAAGGAAGGAGAAAGUAACUUGUGGAAUGGUGAGAAAGGCAUGAGGCGAAUUCUCAGCCAUGACAAGGCUGAAGGCCAGCAGGAACAGGCUCUAGCGAAAUGGGUGCUGUGUCCCCUUCCUGCAUGUGGCAGAAAGUUGCAAAGUUUCAUGGAUUUGAAUGUGAACAUCUGUUCCCUGGACGCACUGCCAACAACGUGGUCCAACUGGUACUCAUCGUUGGAACUACCAAGUCAACUAAUUUUUUUUUUUUUUUUGAGACAGAGUCCCACUCUGUCGCCCAGGCUGGACUGCAGUGGCGCGAUCACAGCUCACUGCAGCCUUGACUUCCCCAGGGUCAGGCGAUUCUGUCACCUCAGGCUCCCUAGUAGGUGAAGACUACAGGCAGACACCACCACAUCUGAGUAAUUACUUUUUGUAGAGAUGGGGUUUCGCCAUAUUGCCCAGGCUGGUCUUGAACUCCCUAAGGUCAAGUAAUCCACCUGCUUCAGCCUCCCAAAGUUCUGGGAUUACAGGCGUGAGCCACUGCAUCCAGCCAGUCAACUUUUAAUAAGGUCCUUGUUAGGUACAGUAAGGGACAUGAGAUGAAAAAGAGCUGGACUGUCUUCUUGGAGCUUACAGGUUAGUUAGAGAAGAUAUUAAAAGACAGAUGAGAUGGGCCUAGACUCUCUGCCUACAUCUUUCUCCAGUGCUGGAUGCUCCCUGCCCUUGAACAUCAGACUCCACGUUCUUCAGUUUUGGGACUCAGACUGGCUCUCCUUGCUCCUCAGCUCUAGACAGCCUAUUUUGGGACCUUGUGAUCAUAAUUUAUUUGCAUGGGAGCUCCUGGGAUCAUAGCAGACAGGAGGCAGGACUAGAUUGUAGCUUCAGACAGAGCAGCAUGCAGAGGCUUGCAUUGUGAAUUUUAGCUCUAGAUCAACUGCAAGAACAAACCAGCAAUCCUGAGAGGACCCACAGACCCUCUGAAGGAAGCGGAUUGCUCCUGCAGGGCCCGGGAGACCCCCAAAUACUGUGAGUGCCCCAACUGUGGAAGUGGGAAAGGGAGAUCCUCCUCUCCCGAACACACACCCCCCCACUGGAGAGGCUGAAGGUCUGUUUGCAGGAGAAAUUUCCAACUUUACCUGGAGCUAAGUCAGACUCAGCAGAGCGAACUACAGGGGUAGAGGAAGCAGCAGAAAGGCCGUGGGAGCUCGCUGGGUCCCCAGAAGGCCCAUUCCUGCCUGGCACCACAGGGAUCCAUCGGGAGGGUGGCCAGAGGAGCAAGGGAUAAAACUCCACAGGGAGAAGAAUUCUCUAGUCGAACUUCGUAACAAUUUAAACAGGGUGAGAAGCCUCCUGGCCAGAACUUGGGCAACUGCACGAAUCCAGCAUGCAGACUUCACAGGUGGGGGAAGAACUACAGCCCUUUUCUUUCGCUGCUGGGAGGGGCACAGCCUUGGGGCAAAUUUUCAAGCCAGUCUCACCCUCUGCCUGGAAACAGACUCGGGGCAGUUGUGGGGGAACACGGUGGGAGUAAGACCGGCCCUUGGGUUUGUGUGGGAGCUGGGUGAGGCCUGUGACUGCCAGCUUUCCCCCACUUCCCUGACAACCUGCAUGACUCAGCAGAGGCAGCCAUAACUCUCCUAGGUACACGACUCCAGUGACCUGGGAAUCUCACCCACAUUCCCUACAGCAGCCGCAGCAAGACCCGCCCAAGGAGAGUCUGAGCUCAGACACGCCUAGCUCCACCCCCACCUGAUGGUCCUUCCCUAUGCACCCUGGCAGGAAGACAAAGGGCAAAUAAAUCUUGGGAGUUCUAGGGCCCCGCCCACUGCUGGUUCCUCCCCAUAUUACCACAGCUGAUGCUUUCUGGAAAGGACCACCUCCUGGCAGGAGGCCAACCAGCAAAAAAAAUAGACCAUUAACCCACCAAAGCUCCAUUGUACCCUCUGCCACCUCCACCGAACAGGCACUGGUAGCCAUGGCUGAGAGACCCAUAGAUGGUUCACAUCACAGGACUCUGCAGAUAACCUCCAGUACCAGCCUGGAACUGGGAAGAUUCGCUGGGUGGCUAGACCCAGAAGAGAGACAACAAUCACUGCAAGUUUGGCUCAUAGGAAGCCACAUCCAUAGGAAAAGGGGCAGAGUACUACAUGAAGAGAACACCCCAUGGGACAAAAGAAUCUGAACAGCCUUCAGCCCUAGACCUUCCCUCUGACAGAGCCUACCCAAAUGAACAAACCCUGGUAAUAUGACAAAACAAGACGCUUCAACACCCCCCAAAAAACAUACUAGUUCACUGGCAAUGGAUCCAAACCAAGAAGAAAUACCUGAUUUACCUGAAAAAGAAUUCAGGAGGUUAGUUAUUAAUCAGGGAAGGACCAGAGAAAGGUGAAGCCCAAUGUAAGGAAAUCCAAAAAAUGAUACAAGAAGUGAAGGGAGAAAUCACUCAGGGAAAUAGAUAGCUUAAAGAAAAAACAAUAAAAAAUUCAGGAAACUUUGGACACAUUUUUAGAAAUGCAAAAUGCUCUGGAAAGUCUCAGCAAUAGAAUUCAACAAGUAGAAUAAAGAAAUUCAGAGCUCGAAGACAAGGUCUUCAAAUUAACCCAAUCCAACAAAGACAAAAAAGAAUAAGAAAAUAUGAACAAAGCCUCCAAGAAGUCUGGGAUUGUGUUAAACGACCAAACCUAAGAAUAAUUGGUGUUCCUGAGGAAGAAGAGAAAUCUAAAAGCUUGGAAAACAUAUUUGGGGGAAUAAUCGAGGAAAACUUCCCCGGCCUUGCUAGAGACCUAGACAUCCAAAUACGAGAAGCACAAAGAACACCUGAGAAAUCCAUUGCAAAAAGAUCUUCAUCUAGGCAUAUUGUCAUCAGGUUAUCCAAAUGAGAGGUGACAAUGUGCUAGUAGCCCUCACUCGCUCUCGGCGCCUCCUUGGCCUCGGCAUCCACUCUGGCUGUGCUUGAGGAGCCCUUCAGCCCGCCGCUGCACUGUGGAAGCCCCUCUCUGGACUGGCCAAGGCCAAAGCGGGCUCCCUCCGCUUGUGGGGAGGUGUGGAGGGAGAGCUCGCGGGCCAGUGAGGGCUUGGCGGGCCCCGACCUAGGAGUGGCCGGCUGGUGCCGCCGGCCCCAGGCAGUGAGGGGCUUAGCACCCCGGCCAGCAGCUGUGGAGGGUGUGCCGGGUCCCCCAGCACUGCCAGCUCACCCGGGCUGUGCUUGAAUUCUCGCUGGGCCUCAGCUGCCUCCCCGUGGAGCAGGGCGUGGGACUUGCAACCCGCCAUGCCUGAGUCCCCCCCUCCCCCUGCCCUGCUCCCUCAUGGCCAGAGCCUCCCGGACGGGCGCCGCCCCCUGCUCUGCAACCAGUCCCAUUGACCGCCCAAGGGCUGAGGAGUGCGGGGGCAUGGUGUGGGACUAGCAGGCAGCUCCACCCACGGCCCCAGCAUGGGAUCCAGUAGGCAAAGCUAGCUGGACUCCUGAGUCGGGUGGGGACUUGGAGAACUUUUAUGUCUAGCUAAAGGUUUAUAAAUACACCAGUCAGCACUUUGUGUCUAGCUCAAGGUUUGUAAAUACACCAAUCAGCACCCUGUGUCUAGCUCAAGGUUUGUAAAUGCACCAAUCAGUGCUCUAUGUCUAGCUAAUCUAGUGGGGACUUGGAGAACUUUUGUGUCUAGCUAAAGGAUUGUAAAUGCACCAAUCAGCACUCUGUGUCUAGCUGAAGGUUUGUAAACACAUCAAUCAGUGCUGUGUCUAGCUAAAUCUAGGGACUUGGAGAACUUUUGUGUCUAGCUAAAGGAUUGUAAAUGCACCAGUCAGCACUCUGUGUCUAGCUCAAGGUUUAUAAACGCACCAAUCAGCACCCUGUCAAAACAGACCAAUCAGCUGUCUGUAAAAUGGGCCAAUCAGCUCUCUGUAAAAUGGACCAAUCAGCAGGAUGUGGGUGGGGUCAGAUAAGGGAAUAAACGCAGGCUGCCUGAGCCAGCAGUGCAACCCGUUCGGGUCACCUUCCACACUGUGGAAGCUUUGUUCUUUUGGUCUUUGUGGUAAAUGUUACUGCUGCUCACUCCUUGGGUCUGUGCUGCCUUUAAGAGCUGCAACACUCACUGCGAAGGUCUGCAGGUUCACUCCUGAAGUCAGCGAGACCACAAACCCACCAGAAGGAAGAAACUCUGGAUGCAUCUGAACAUCUGAAGGAACAAACUCUGGACACACCAUCUUUAAGAGCUGUAAUACUCACCAUGAGGGUCCGUGGCUUCAUUCUUGAAGUCAGCAAGACCAAGAACCCACCAAUUCCGGACAAAGUUAAAAUGAAAGAAAGAAUUUUAAGAGUCUGUGAGACAGAAGCACCAGGUAACCUAUAAAGGAAAACCUAUCAGAUUAACAGCAGAUUUCUCAGGAGAAACACUACAAGCUAGAAGGGAUUGGGGUCCUAUGUUCAGCCUCCUCAAACAAAACAAUUAUCAGCCAAGAAUUUUGUAUCCAGCAAAACUAAGUAUCACAUAUGAAGAAAAGAUAGUUGUUUUCAGACAAACAAAUGCUGAGAGAAUUCACCAUUACCAAGCCACUGCUACAAAAACUGCUAAAAGGAGCUCUAAAUCUUGAAACAAAUCCUGGAAACACAUCAAAACAGAACCUCUUUAAAGCAUAAAUCACACAGGACCUAUAAAACAAAAAUACAAGUUAAAAAGCAAAACCAAAAAACCCCUAAAGUACACAGGCAACAAAGAGCA